rnacentral:rRNA from 1 species
GACGAACGCUGGCGGCGUGCUUAACACAUGCAAGUCGAACGGAAAGGCCCUGCUUUUGUGGGGUGCUCGAGUGGCGAACGGGUGAGUAACACGUGAGUAACCUGCCCUUGACUUUGGGAUAACUUCAGGAAACUGGGGCUAAUACCGGAUAGGAGCUCCUGCUGCAUGGUGGGGGUUGGAAAGUUUCGGCGGUUGGGGAUGGACUCGCGGCUUAUCAGCUUGUUGGUGGGGUAGUGGCUUACCAAGGCUUUGACGGGUAGCCGGCCUGAGAGGGUGACCGGCCACAUUGGUACUGAUAUACGGCCCAGACUCCUACGGGAGCCAGCAGUGGGGAAGAUGGCACAAUGGGCGGAAGCCUGAUGCAGCAACGCCGCGUGCGGGAUUACGGCUUUCCGUUUGUAAACCGCUUUCGCCUGUGACGAAGCGUGAGUGACGGUAAUGGGUAAAGAAGCCCCGGCUAACUACGUG